GUCAGAACACAAGCCUAGUGUCUCUUGUUUACAGUAGAGUUUUCCUACAGACUACGGGGCUAAAGAUGGAGACAAGUAUUUACCACCUACCUGUGCAAUCACCUGGCUGCUCCUCUUGGAUAAGAUAACAUCACACGAUAAACGAGGCCAACAAGAUGAUUCAACUGGAAAGGGAGAGAUGGUUUAAAGUCAUGAUUAAUGCUACCAUGUCCCUGGCUGCCUUACUUCCUCAGCUCAUCACUACUUGUUGAUUCAAAGCAUCCAGCAAGCCCAGAGUCAACUAACAUGGAGCUUUAGCCUCUUGGUUCUGAGCAUGUUCUGCCUGUUCCUCACUACUUCCUGGCGUGGCUUCAGCCUUGCAGAACACACAUUAUAUAAGAACAGAAAAUAGUUAAGAGGAAGGAAAUAUAGAUGGCAUUAUUUUCAAAAGCUCAAGCAAAAGUUUUAUUUGCUAUCUAAAUAAAGCAGCCUCCUGUAAGG
rnacentral:lncRNA from 1 species